GCUAGCUCGCGUUAGCACGAUGAAGGACUCCAGAGGUCGUCAGGGUCCAAAGAAACUAAACGUUGGAGGUUUAACACUGAUUGAUCGGGAAACGGCGGAUUGUCCUAUUGAUCACGUGACAAUCAUCACAGGAGAACAUCUAAACAGGGUUACGUGAUGACGUCAUAGUAGUGAUGUAGUUGAUGAACUAAUGAUGUUGGUGCUUCUGUCACAGCUGGAGACUUUAUAGUGACUCAUCGUUUGGCUUUAGGGUUCUGAUUGUAUUCUUUUUAAUUCAAGUGUAAAAAACGUUCUCAGGAUGUUCCGUUAGAUUCUGAAGUCAUCGCUGAUUUAGUUUCAAAGUAACAUCUGAAACUAUAAAUACUGUAGUAAAUUGGUUUGUAGAUGUUGUGGAAUCGUUGCUCUGUGGUUCUUUCAGUGACCCUAGGACCUAAAUCAGGUACUUUACUAGCCCUUCUUCAGGGUUCCUCACAGGUUCUUUCAGUCUGACUAGAACCUAAAUCAGGGUUCUUUACGAACUCUUCCCCAGGGUUCCUCACAGGUUCUUUCAGUGAGGCUAGAACCUAAAUCAGGGUUCUUUACGACCUCCUCCCCAUGGUUCCUCACGGGUUCUUUCAGUGAGGCUAGAACCUAAAUCAGGGUUCUUUACGACCUCCUCCCCAUGGUUCCUCACGGGUUCUUUCAGUGAGACUAGAACCUAAAUCAGGGUUCUCUAAUAGCUGUUCUCGAGGGUUCCUUUGAGGUUCUUUCAGUCAGAUUACAGUGUUCCUUGGGGAACGCUUGUCUGGAAACGUUUAAAGAACCAUAGAACCGGAACACCGGGAUGGUGUCUGAAGGUUACCGGAGAAUGUCACUCACAACGGUGAAUGAAUCUAAUAUGAUGUGUCCGCUAACGCCGUUAAAACAGCACGAGGUCGUUAGAAUAACCGUCCUAUCUAACGUCGCUCCGUGAGAAGAUGAAACAAGAGGAAAUCCCGCCGCCGUCUGUCGCCGGUGAAGAACCGGAGAUUAAAGCGCCGAUUUAUCUCCGUUGAGUAUUGAACCCUGAGAACCCAGAUAACCCUCCAGAUCUUUAAUGGUUACGAGAUCCUUCUGGAACCCUGAGGACUCUGGCAAGGCUCUAGAACCCUGGGAACCCUGAGAACCUUCCAGAUCCCUAAGUGCUAUGAGAACC
ensembl:lncRNA